rnacentral:rRNA from 1 species
GACGAACCGUGCGAACGUUGUUCGGAAUCACUGGGCUUAAAGGGCGCGUAGGCGGCCUACCAAGUCAGGGGUGAAAGCUUCCGGCUCAACCGGAAAAGUGCCUUUGAUACUGGUGGGCUCGAGGGAGGUAGGGGCAGAUGGAACUUCCGGUGGAGCGGUGAAGUGUGUUGAUAUCGGAAGGAACGCCGGUGGCGAAAGCGAUCUGCUGGAUCUCUACUGACGCUGAGGCGCGAAAGCUAGGGUAGCGAAC